GUUAAAGUGUGCUAAGCCACCGAGUACAUCUUUGAGGGUGUCAACCUUUUAAAACUGUAUUGGGAGGCUGAGCAGAGCUAAAAGAAAAGGAAAACAGUUGAGAUGUCAGCUAAAGAACACGCUGAAGCAAUAUCAUUUGAAAGGAAGAUUGAUGUACUAACUGCAUGCAGAUCAACAGGUAUUGUG